GACGAACGCUGGCGGCGUGCUUAACACAUGCAAGUCGAACGGAAAGGCCCUGCUUUUGUGGGGUGCUCGAGUGGCGAACGGGUGAGUAACACGUGAGUGACCUGCCCUUGACUUUGGGAUAACUUCAGGAAACUGGGGCUAAUACCGGAUAGGAGCUCCUGCUGCAUGGUGGGGGUUGGAAAGUUUCGGCGGUUGGGGAUGGACUCGCGGCUUAUCAGCUUGUUGGUGGGGUAGUGGCUUACCAAGGCUUUGACGGGUAGCCGGCCUGAGAGGGUGACCGGCCACAUUGGGACUGAGAUACGGCCCAGCCCCCUACGGGAGGCAGCAGUGGGGAAUAUUGCACAAUGGGCGGAAGCCUGAUGCAGCAACGCCGCGUGCGGGAUGACGGCCUUCGGGUUGUAAACCGCUUUCGCCUGUGAGGAAGCGUGAGUGACGGUAAUGGGUAAAGAAGCACCGGCUAACUACGUG
rnacentral:rRNA from 1 species